rnacentral:tRNA from 1 species
GAGGUCUUAGCUUAAUUAAAGUGUCUGAGUUGCAUUCAGAUGAUGUGGGGUUCGGUCCUACAGGUCUUCAGGA